rnacentral:rRNA from 1 species
UAGGGAAUCUUCGGCAAUGGACGAAAGUCUGACCGAGCAACGCCGCGUGAGUGAAGAAGGUUUUCGGAUCGUAAAACUCUGUUGUUAGAGAAGAACAAGGACGUUAGUAACUGAACGUCCCCUGACGGUAUCUAACCAGAAAGCCACGGCUAACUACGUGCCAGCAGCCGCGGUAAUACGUAGGUGGCAAGCGUUGUCCGGAUUUAUUGGGCGUAAAGCGAGCGCAGGCGGUUUCUUAAGUCUGAUGUGAAAGCCCCCGGCUCAACCGGGGAGGGUGAUUGGAAACUGGGAGACGUGAGUGCAGAAGAGGAGAGUGGAAGUCGAUGUGGAGCGGUGAAAUGCGUAGAGAUAUGGCGGAGGAGCAGUGGCGAAGGCGGCUCUCUGGUCUGUAACUGACGCUGAGGCUCGAAAGCGUGGGGAGCAGACAGG